GCGCGGUGGUCCCACCUGACCCCAUGCCGAACUCAGAAGUGAAACGCCGUAGCGCCGAUGGUAGUGUGGGGCUUCCCCAUGUGAGAGUAGGGAACUGCCAGGC
rnacentral:rRNA from 2 species